AACGCAUCUUGCGCUCCUUGGUAUUCUGAGGAGCAUGCCUGUUUGAGUGUCAUUAAAUUCUCAACUACACUGACUUUUGAUUGAUUGGUGUGGCUUGGAUUUGGGAUUGUGGGCUAUUGUCGUAGUCUGCUCCCCUGAAAUUGAUUAGCAGUGCCUUGGUGGAACUGUCUACAGGUGUGAUAAUUAUCUACAUCCUAGACAUCUGCUUGAUGCUGCUUUCUAAACCUUACUUCUAUUGACAAUCUUGACCUCAAAUCAGGUAGGACUACCCGCUGAACUUAA
rnacentral:misc_RNA from 1 species